CAAAUUAGAGCUUGAAGUUUAAGUAUUUCAUUUACAUUGAAAAGAUAAUAUUAUUUAUUUAAUUUGA
rnacentral:tRNA from 1 species